GUAUGUAUAGCUCUGUGGUAGAGCUCAUGCCUAGCACGCACAAGGUCCUGGGUUCAAUCCCCAGUGCCUCCA
rnacentral:tRNA from 1 species